CUGAUUUGCUUAAUUGCACCACAUGUGUUUUUUAUUGAACAAAUUUCUUUGGUGGCGGGAGCAAUCCUACCGCCAGAGGUUAUAACUAAACCAAACUUUUUAUUUACAGUCAAACUUGAUUUAUUAUUACAAUAGUCAAAACUUUCAACAACGGAUCUCUUGGUUCUCGCAUCGAUGAAGAACGCAGCGAAAUGCGAUACGUAAUAUGAAUUGCAGAUAUUCGUGAAUCAUCGAAUCUUUGAACGCACAUUGCGCCCUUUGGUAUUCCAAAGGGCAUGCCUGUUUGAGCGUCAUUUCUCCCUCAAACCCCCGGGUUUGGUGUUGAGCAAUACGCUAGGUUUGUUUGAAAGAAUUUACGUGGAAACUUAUUUUAAGCGACUUAGGUUUAUCCAAAACGCUUAUUUUGCUAGUGGCCACCACAAUUUAUUUCAUAACUUU
rnacentral:misc_RNA from 1 species